GUGCCAGCAGCCGCGGUAAUACCGGCAGCUCAAGUGAUGUCCCAUAUUAUUGGGCCUAAAGCGUCCGUAGCUGGCCGAGCAAGUCUGUCGGGAAAUCCACCCGCCCAACGGGUGGGCGUCCGGUGGAAACUGGCCGGCUUGGAACCGGAAGGCUCAGAGAGUACGUCCGGGGUAGGAGUGAAAUCCCGUAAUCCCGGACGGACUACCGAUGGCGAAAGCACUUUGAGAAGACGGCUUCGACAGUGAGGGACGAAAGCUAGGGUCUCAAACCGGAUUAGAAACCCGAGUAGUCC
rnacentral:rRNA from 1 species